rnacentral:rRNA from 1 species
GAAACUGGGGAUAAUUCCGGAUAGUUCAUGGUAGCGGAAUGCUCCAUGAUCGAAAGCUAUUGCGCCUAAGGAUGGUCUGCGGUCUAUCAGGUAGUAGUGGGUGUAAUGUACCUACUAGCCGACGACGGAUACGGGUUGUGGGAGCAAGAGCCCGGAGAUGGAUUCUGAGACAUGAAUCCAGGCCCUACGGGGCGCAGCAGGCGCGAAAACUUUACAAUGCGGGAAACCGCGAUAAGGGGACACCGAGUGCCAGCAUCUUAUGUUGGCUGUCCGCAUGUAUAAAUCACAUGUGUUAGCAAGGGCCGGGCAAGACCGGUGCCAGCCGCCGCGGUAACACCGGCGGCCCGAGUGGUGGCCACUAUUAUUGGGUCUAAAGGGUCCGUAGCCGGUUUGGUCAGUCUUCCGGGAAAUCUGACGGCUUAACCGUUAGGCUUUCGGGGGAUACUACCAGGCUUGGGACCGGGAGAGGUAAGAGGUACUACGGGGGUAGGAGUGAAAUCUUGUAAUCCUCGUGGGACCACCAGUGGCGAAGGCGUCUUACCAGAACGGGUCCGACGGUGAGGGACGAAAGCUGGGGGCACGAACCGGAUUAGAUACCCGGGUAGUCCCAGCCGUAAACUAUGCUCGCUAGGUGUCAGGGACGGUGCGACCGUUUCUGGUGCCGCAGGGAAGCCGUGAAGCGAGCCACCUGGGAAGUACGGUCGCAAGGCUGAAACUUAAAGGAAUUGGCGGGGGAGCACUACAACGGGUGGAGCCUGCGGUUUAAUUGGACUCAACGCCGGAAAACUCACCGGGGGCGACAGCAAUAUGUAGGUCAAGCUAAAGACUUUACCAGAAUCGCUGAGAGGAGGUGCAUGGCCGUCGUCAGUUCGUACUGUGAAGCAUCCUGUUAAGUCAGGCAACGAGCGAGACCCGUGCCCACUGUUGCCAGCAUAUCCUUUGGGAUGAUGGGUACUCUGUGGGGACCGCCGAUGCUAAAUCGGAGGAAGGUGCGGGCUACGGUAGGUCAGUAUGCCCCGAAUCUCCCGGGCUACACGCGGGCUACAAUGACUGGGACAAUGGGCUCCUACCCCGAGAGGGGAUGGUAAUCUCAUAAACCCAGCCGUAGUUCGGAUCGAGG